rnacentral:rRNA from 1 species
AACGAACGCUGGCGGCGUGCUUAAUACAUGCAAGUCGAACGAGAAAGUUCCUUCGGGAACGAGUAAAGUGGCAAACGGGUGAGUAAUACAUAGAUAAUCUACCUCCGAGCGGGGGAUAACAUCUCGAAAGGGGUGCUAAUACCGCAUAAGACUACAGCAACUAUGGUUGCAGUGGUAAAAGGUGGCUUCGGCUAUCACUGGGAGAUGAGUCUAUGUACCAUUAGCUUGUUGGUGGGGUAAAGGCCUACCAAGGCUACGAUGGUUAGCUGAUCUGAGAGGAUGAUCAGCCACACUGGAACUGAGACACGGUCCAG